rnacentral:rRNA from 1 species
CAGUUCGGAUCGCAGUCUGCAACUCGACUGCGUGAAGGUGGAGUCGCUAGUAAUCGCGGAUCAGCAACGCCGCGGUGAAUGCGUUCCCGGGCCUUGUACACACCGCCCGUCAAGUCAUGAAAGUGGGCAGCACCCGAAGACGGUGGCCUAACCCUUGUGGGGGAGCCGUCUAAGGUGAGGCUCGUGAUUGGGACUAAGUCGUAACAAGGUAAC